rnacentral:rRNA from 2 species
GAUGAACGCCGGCGGUGUGCCUAAUACAUGCAAGUCGAACGCGUUGGCCCAAUUGAUUGAUGGUGCUUGCAUCUGAUUGAUUUUGGUCGCCAACGAGUGGCGGACGGGUGAGUAACACGUAGGUAACCUGCCCAGAAGCGGGGGACAACAUUUGGAAACAGAUGCUAAUACCGCAUAACAACAUUGUUCGCAUGAACAACGCUUAAAAGAUGGCUUCUCGCUAUCACUUCUGGAUGGACCUGCGGUGCAUUAGCUUGUUGGUGGGGUAAUGGCCUACCAAGGCGAUGAUGCAUAGCCGAGUUGAGAGACUGAUCGGCCACAAUGGGACUGAGACACGGCCCAUACUCCUACGGGAGGCAGCAGUAGGGAAUCUUCCACAAUGGGCGCAAGCCUGAUGGAGCAACACCGCGUGAGUGAAGAAGGGUUUCGGCUCGUAAAGCUCUGUUGUUAAAGAAGAAUACGUAUGAGAGUAACUGUUCAUACGUUGACGGUAUUUAACCAGAAAGUCACGGCUAACUACGUGCCAGCAGCCGCGGUAAUACGUAGGUGGCAAGCGUUAUCCGGAUUUAUUGGGCGUAAAGAGAGUGCAGGCGGUUUUCUAAGUCUGAUGUGAAAGCCUUCGGCUUAACCGGAGAAGUGCAUCGGAAACUGGAUAACUUGAGUGCAGAAGAGGGUAGUGGAACUCCAUGUGUAGCGGUGGAAUGCGUAGAUAUAUGGAAGAACACCAGUGGCGAAGGCGGCUACCUGGUCUGCAACUGACGCUGAGACUCGAAAGCAUGGGUAGCGAACAGGAUUAGAUACCCUGGUAGUCCAUGCCGUAAACGAUGAGUGCUAGGUGUUGGAGGGUUUCCGCCCUUCAGUGCCGGAGCUAACGCAUUAAGCACUCCGCCUGGGGAGUACGACCGCAAGGUUGAAACUCAAAGGAAUUGACGGGGGCCCGCACAAGUGGUGGAGCAUGUGGUUUAAUUCGAAGCUACGCGAAGAACCUUACCAGGUCUUGACAUCUUGCGCCAACCCUAGAGAUAGGGCGUUUCCUUCGGGAACGCAAUGACAGGUGGUGCAUGGUCGUCGUCAGCUCGUGUCGUGAGAUGUUGGGUUAAGUCCCGCAACGAGCGCAACCCUUGUUACUAGUUGCCAGCAUUAAGUUGGGCACUCUAGUGAGACUGCCGGUGACAAACCGGAGGAAGGUGGGGACGACGUCAGAUCAUCAUGCCCCUUAUGACCUGGGCUACACACGUGCUACAAUGGACGGUACAACGAGUCGCGAACUCGCGAGGGCAAGCAAAUCUCUUAAAACCGUUCUCAGUUCGGACUGCAGGCUGCAACUCGCCUGCACGAAGUCGGAAUCGCUAGUAAUCGCGGAUCAGCAUGCCGCGGUGAAUACGUUCCCGGGCCUUGUACACACCGCCCGUCACACCAUGAGAGUUUGUAACACCCAAAGUCGGUGGGGUAACCUUUUAGGAGCCAGCCGCCUAAGGUGGGACAGAUGAUUAGGGUG